UGGGGAAUAUUGCACAAUGGGCGCAAGCCUGAUGCAGCGAUGCCGCGUGAGGGAAGAAGGUUUUCGGAUUGUAAACCUCUGUCAUCAGGGAUGAAAAAAGACGGUACCUGAGAAGGAAGCUCCGGCUAACUACGUGCCGGCAGCCGCGGUAAUACGUAGGGAGCAAGCGUUAUCCGGAAUUACUGGGUGUAAAGGGAGUGUAGGCGGGACUGUAAGUCAGAUGUGAAAUAUGCCGGCUCAACUGGCAGACUGCAUUUGAAACUGUGGUUCUUGAGUGAAGUAGAGGUAAGCGGAAUUCCUGGUGUAGCGGUGAAAUGCGUAGAUAUCAGGAGGAACAUCAGUGGCGAAGGCGGCUUACUGGGCUUUAACUGACGCUGAGGCUCGAAAGCGCGGGGAGCAAACAGGAUUAGAUACCCUGGUAGU
rnacentral:rRNA from 1 species